UCGUGCUAGACGGGGCAGUAGCGGCGCCUUGUAACCCGCGAAUCCGCUAUAGCGGGGUCGAAGUUCGGCUGAGGGACUUCCGUGGGAAGUUUGCAGAUGAGAAAGUGGUGUUGAGGAUUGGGUCCUGCGCAACGCAGCCUCCUGAACCGUGUCAGGUCCGGAAGGAAGCAGCACUAAGGGAAUCGUUGCGUGUGCCGCAGGGCGGCCUGGUCUGAGCUAACUCCUCCUCUCGGCUUCUCAAGGGGUUUCGAAGCCGGAUGCACGG
rfam:Tumebacillus flagellatus strain GST4 Contig037, whole genome shotgun sequence.